UGGCUCAGGAUGAACGCUAGCUACAGGCUUAACACAUGCAAGUCGAGGGGAAACGACAUCGAAAGCUUGCUUUUGAUGGGCGUCGACCGGCGCACGGGUGAGUAACGCGUAUCCAACCUGCCCACCACUUGGGGAUAACCUUGCGAAAGUAAGACUAAUACCCAAUGAUAUCUCUAGAAGACAUCUGAAAGAGAUUAAAGAUUUAUCAGUGAUGGAUGGGGAUGCGUCUGAUUAGCUUGUUGGCGGGGUAACGGCCCACCAAGGCAACGAUCAGUAGGGGUUCUGAGAGGAAGGUCCCCCACAUUGGAACUGAGACACGGUCCAAACUCCUACGGGAGGCAGCAGUGAGGAAUAUUGGUCAAUGGACGAGAGUCUGAACCAGCCAAGUAGCGUGCAGGGAUGACGGCCCUAUGGGUUGUAAACUGCUUUUAUAAGGGAAUAAAAGUGAGUCUCGUGAGACUUUUUGCAUGUACCUUAUGAAUAAGGACCGGCUAAUUCCGUGCCAGCAGCCGCGGUAAUACGGAAGGUCCGGGCGUUAUCCGGAUUUAUUGGGUUUAAAGGGAGCGUAGGCCGGAGAUUAAGCGUGUUGUGAAAUGUAGACGCUCAACGUCUGCACUGCAGCGCGAACUGGUUUCCUUGAGUACGCACAAAGUGGGCGGAAUUCGUGGUGUAGCGGUGAAAUGCUUAGAUAUCACGAAGAACUCCGAUUGCGAAGGCAGCUCACUGGAGCGCAACUGACGCUGAAGCUCGAAAGUGCGGGUAUCGAACAGGAUUAGAUACCCUGGUAGUCCGCACGGUAAACGAUGGAUGCCCGCUGUUGGUCUGAAUAGGUCAGCGGCC
rnacentral:rRNA from 1 species